UCCUGUGCCGUGGCUCUCUGCGAGGGUUCCCGCACCAGCAUCAAGUCCAAGAAGCCCCGGAGGACAGAGGAGACCUGUAACACCACGCUGGCGUUAGGAGCAGACAAAGACAAGAUUUCCAGCAUAUGCUCGCUGAUAACAUCGAGUGCACUGAAGAAAUGACCUGCAACAGCAUACAAACUGGGUCUGCAGCUGGUCGAGGUGAUGGCUACUGGAACUCUGCUCAUAGGAGAGGCUACCUGUGCCCUGUGUUGUGGCACAGAGCUGCAGCUCUGAACCCAUUGAGUCUUUUCCCUGCACUGGCUCUGCAGCGCUACAGAAAAGCGCAGUGAGUGGAAACACAGCGCAGAACAGCUGCUCUGAAAUCAGUUUACAGGAUGAAGAAUGGAAGAAAUAAAGUGAAUUUUGGAAGCAGAGCCCGGUCUUCUUUUGUAGGAGCACAAGAGGUUUUGCAGAUCUAUUGCUCGUUCGAGUACAUAAAAGACAACGAUUUUCUAAAAAAAGAUAAUUACACAACACAGCCAUGAAGAAAUCUGCAAUGCAGAUAUUAAGUACUGGGGUAAUGAGUAUAAUGAGGCAGUGUACACAGGGCCUGAAAGCAGUUCAGAUGCUAUUUCAGCAACACGGAUCAAAAUUGCAACUGAAGAACUCCUACACAUGUGGGAUUUGCUCCCCCGACACGAUUAACAAGACUGGCCGGGGAUGGCUGCACGAAGAAAAUCCUUCUCUUCGUGAUGUGGGAAUCAAAUGUAAAGGUGAGAGGAUCAGAUCAGGCCUGAGAAGCCUCACGUUUCACCUUCAGCACUGGAAGAUUUGGGUGCUCUUGGUCUCGUUCUGACCCGCUCACUACAUCCUGCUUUGGGCACAUACGUAACCCCACUGCAGCAGCCCUAAAACCCUGCCUAUGGGAAUCCCUGAGCAUGACUGAACUAGUUUUUACUUCCAUUAUUUGAUGCAGCCACAAGAUGAGACCCAAACCAGUGCAGAAAUUAGGCUUUUACAUCUAACAGUUACUUGCUCCCCUCCACCUAUGCCUUCAGGUGCCCUGAGUUUCAGGCGCUACAAGUUUUACUGCUGUGUGGCCACAAGCAAUGCAGCUCAGCACCACUUUUCUUUCCCCAAAGAAAUUAAUGUUUCCUUUUGAGACUGAACACAGACAGUGUGUUAUUUUUUUGGCACACAACCUUUACUUUGCUGAUUAAGCAGGCCACGUGCAUUUUCUCUCCCUCUCUCCUCACAUGUGAACACCAUAAAGAACAAUUUGGUGAUAGCAGUGGCCCAUCCAAAUGCAGGAGAGCAUGGGACAGGUGCUAUCAACCACCUCACAGGUGUACCUAUGGCAAGCGCUAUCCCCACAGUUGAGUGUUUCAGCACUAAGGUAUAACAUUUCCUAUUAGUAUAGACUGAAGAUAGCAUCCUAACCAGCCUGGGAAAACAGGGCUUAUGUAUAAAAGCUUGCUAGCUAAAAGAUUACUGUAAGUAGUACAAAGAAAAACUUCUGCAAGGUGUCAAGGUAGGAGUGGGGCAGAACUGCAGGAAGUUCCCCAUUACCUAAGCAUCACCCUUUAGCAUAGUUUCUUCUGCCACUGCCUCCCAGUGGCUGUAAUUCUCCAUGGGUAUUCUGCAUGCAGUACAGAUGUCAACCACUGGCCAGGCCUGUGCUUUUCUAAUUCAGCUCUCCAGCAAGACUGAAGCUGUAGUUUUGUGGGUCUGGCUCAGAGCCUGCUGUUGAACCCUACCUGGAGCUCAACCUCAGCAUACACAACCUUAUUCCUCUCACAUAAUCAAUAAAACCCCCCAAAGGAUGAGGCUACUUUUCCCAUUAUCUGACAGCAUUUGGUCUUACAUCAGAUUAGGAUCAGAGGAAUGGAGGGACCCAAAUCUCCCACUUUCCUGCCAGGUAGGAAGUAGAAAACUAAGUUGCAUUUUCCCUUCCCCUUUAUUUACUCUCUUUAGCUCUGCCACUUUUGUCACCCUAGCUGGGCUUUGAGAGGAGGGCAGUGGUAUUCUGUCAGUGCCACGAAGUACUGUGCUGGUGAGGGGGCACAGACUCCCUGCCACGGACUGCAGGGAUGACAACCUGGGUUUAAAUUCCUCACCAACCUAUGGGUGCCAAUGUUCGCUUCAGAAGAGCGUGGAGAUCCACGGGGAAGGUGGCAUUUUGGGCAACCCUUGCUCUACACAUGAUGUCCUGCCAACAGCUCUGCCACUGGCCAGGAGCAAAGGGAUGGACAUAGGCCACUUCUAUUCAAGUGCCUGUUUGGUUGCAUUAGGAUCAGGAACCAAGCUCCUAUCUACUAUGAUGCCUGGCAUGGAGCAGAAGAGCUUCUCAAAGACUCAACUUAUUGAUUGAUUGAUUGGAAGUGGUACUUUGGCAAGCCAUGGGCACAGCUGUUUUUGUGACAGACCCCACCAACCCCUAAGGCAGACCCCUUGUGUGUCAGCCAGAGAUGAUAGGAGAAAUGCUUGGUGCUCACCCGCCCAUCGCUUGUGAGGAGGAUGGAGUCACUUUUGAUGUCGCGGUGGAUGACACCCUGGUUGUGCAGGUAGGACAGAGCUCUCAGGACAGACAGGCAGACGGUCGCUAUCUGCUCCUCGUUCAUCCUGAAACAGCAACAUAGAAAAAUGCACUGAGCAUUAAGGAAGAAAGCAGGAAAGGGGAGCUGGAGUGGGCAGGCCCAGGUUCCUGUUCACACCAGUACAUGAACUAUUUCUGUCAAGAAAGGGAGACGAUGGGUGAGGAAUAACUCUGCAACAAGGCUGGGACAAGUCUGCCUCUAGCAUUAGAAGAGAAUGAUCAAGUCCUCAUUUCUGUACACAUGUGUAAAGCCCCACCAUGGAAAAAGCUGCUGCUGCAACAUGACAGCAACGGACGGGACAGGUCAUGCACCACAGCUGGGCGUCCCCAGCUUCAUCACCACACCAGCAGAAGCCUUAAAGCAUUUCUGCUUUAACUUUGUGAUGUUAUUUGCAGUAUUUCAGCAGAAUCUUUAAGAGAAGGUCACGCAAUGUAAAAAACGCAGAAGAUUAAGGAAUGACUGCUUUGAGCUAAAAAAUGGAUGACAGCUCUUAAGAAGUGGCUGUCCUGGGAACAUCUGUUUGCCGUUAAACUCCUGUCAGAAAUAUCUCCAGUGGAGCUUUUAAUGUUUUGGGGAGCACUAGUUAGUAAAUGCCUUGCAAUAUUAUGCUUGAUUUCAGCACAUCAGCUAAGGCAACACUUCAAAAUAAAAGAGCACAAACUUCUUUUUCAUGUAGGGGAAAAAAAAAAAAAAGCUAUGAGAGAAAAACAGCUAUGAGAGAAGACAAAUUUUCAUGUCUAAUUUUCUUUUUGCUUCUCAUCUUGCUCACCCAAGUACUCUCCCACUGAACUGUUGUGGAAAUACGUGUUGUUUUAUUCCAGAUGAAGAAAUUAGAGAAUUCAUCCUUCCUAUCCCACUCUGUCCUGCUCAGCAGAAUGAGAUGAGUGAGGAGCAGAUGUAAGAUAGGCUGUAAGAUCCAACACCUGCACUCACAGAGGAACUAGAAGAGAGGUUCAGUACACUACAGCCUCUGUACUGGUAAACUGUCUCAUUUAAAGGCAUGAUGUUAACUGAAAUGUGGGAACCAGAUCUACUGUAAGCACAAAUGCUGAGAGAUAGAAAAAUACUUUUCCCGUUAGGUCUUCGGCUCAGUUUGUAGUUAAUGCUUCUGACAGCAUGGCUACGUGGGUUAUGAGUAUCAAGAGAAAUCACCCCCAAAACUGACAGAGCUAUGAAAGCAAAUCCAACACUACAGAUCACCAUACACGGAAAAGGAGCUUUUUUUUUUUUGACACCUGGGGAACUAACGGAUAAAGGUAAUCUCUGCUAAAUUAACACUGAAAGCUCUGGCAAAUCUCUGCCUCCCAGCAAGCCCUUCCAGAUAUUUCUUCUCUUUCUUUAUAAAAAAAAACACCUGCACUGACAGAAAGCCAUCUGCAGUUCUGCCGGUACUGUGAGUGUGCCACAUUAUGUGUAUAUAUACAUACGUGCGUGCACAUACAGCUAUCAUAGAGACAUAUCUGUACACAUGCAUAGCCAUACCCACACAUACAUAUAGUUACAUAUGCACCACUGGGGGAUUGCCUGCAGCUCGCAGCCCACCUGGUG